rnacentral:rRNA from 1 species
UACGUAGGGUGCAAGCGUUGUCCGGAAUUAUUGGGCGUAAAGAGCUCGUAGGCGGUUUGUCGCGUCGGCUGUGAAAACCUGGGGCUCAACCCCGGGCCUGCAGCCGAUACGGGCAAGCUAGAAUUCGGUAGGGGAGAUUGGAAUUCCUGGUGUAGCGGUGGAAUGCGCAGAUAUCAGGAGGAACACCGAUGGCGAAGGCAGAUCUCUGGGCCGUAACUGACGCUGAGGAGCGAAAGCAUGGGGAGCGAACAGG